rnacentral:rRNA from 1 species
CCUACGGGUGGCAGCAGUGAGGAAUAUUGGUCAAUGGACGAGAGUCUGAACCAGCCAAGUAGCGUGAAGGAUGACUGCCCUAUGGGUUGUAAACUUCUUUUAUAUGGGAAUAAAAUGUUCCACGUGUGGGUUUUUGUACGUAUCAUAUGAUCACCGAUCGGCGAACUACGUGCCAGCAGCCGCGUUAAUACGGAGGAUCCGAGCGUUAUCCGGAUUUAUUGGGUUUAAAGGGAGCGUAGGUGGAUUGUUAAGUCAGUUGUGAAAGUUUGCGGCUCAACCGUAAAAUUGCAGUUGAAACUGGCAGUCUUGAGUACAGUAGAGGUGGGCGGAAUUCGUGGUGUAGCGGUGAAAUGCUUAGAUAUCACGAAGAACUCCGAUUGCGAAGGCAGCUCACUGGACUGCAACUGACACUGAGGCUCGAAAGUGUGGGUAUCAAACAGGAUUAGAUACCCGAGUAGUC